GAUGAACGCUAGCGAUAGGCUUAACACAUGCAAGUCGAGGGGCAGCAUGGUCUUAGCUUGCUAAGACUGAUGGCGACCGGCGCACGGGUGCGUAACGCGUAUGCAACUUGCCUCACAGAGGGGGAUAACACGUCGAAAGACGGACUAAUACCGCGUACACUUGGCAUAGGGCAUCCUGACCCAAGGCAAUGAAAUUCGCUGUGAGAUAGGCAUGCGUCCCAUUAGCUAGUUGGUGAGGUAACGGCUCACCAAGGAGACGAUGGGUAGGGGAACGGAGGGGAUGAACCCCGACACUGGUACUGAGACCCGGACCAGACUGCUACGGGCGGCAGCAGUAAGGAAUAUUGGUGAAUGGACGAGAGCCUGAACCAGCCAAGUCGCGUGAAGGAUGACUGUCUUAGGGAUUGUAACCUUCUUGUAUACGGGAGCAUCAAGAGCUACGUGUGGCUCCGUGCAUGUACCGUAUGAAUAAGCAUCGGCUAACUCCGUG
rnacentral:rRNA from 1 species